rnacentral:rRNA from 1 species
UACGUAGGGGGCUAGCGUUGUCCGGAAUCAUUGGGCGUAAAGCGCGUGUAGGCGGCCCGGUAAGUCCGCUGUGAAAGUCGGGGGCUCAACCCUCGAAAGCCGGUGGAUACUGUCGGGCUAAGAGUACGGAAGAGGCGAGUGGAAUUCCUGGUGUAGCGGUGAAAUGCGCAGAUAUCAGGAAGAACACCAAUGGCGAAGGCAGACUCCUCUGGGAACGGUACUGACGGCUGAGAGCGAAACGUGGGGAGC